rfam:Dipodomys ordii contig_35817, whole genome shotgun sequence.
GGUGGCUCAGUGGUAGAGUGCUUGCCUUGCAUCCAUGAGGCCCUGGGUUCAAUUCCUCAGCACCA